AGAAAAGAUUUUUUUUUAUCUGUAAAUGUCUGUUGUUUUCUUUUCUGUUUAGGUAACAACUGCCUUCAUUUGUUCCAUAAGGUAAUCCUAUCCAGCAAACUGCCUUAACUCUAUUGCAUUAAAGUGUUAGAAAAGCUUACGAGUGAAUACAACAACUAGCCAAAACAUUAUGACCACUUACAAGUAAGGUGAGUGAAACCAGUAAUCUUGUUACAACACAGUGAUUUGAUUUUUAUUUUAUCUCCUUUAAAGCUGACUUUAGCCUGGAUACUCAAGAAUCUUUUUGAAGUACUCACUCAGCUUUCAGUCUCUUAAAAGGGAUCCACAGUUUUUCACCAAACUACAAGAGACCAAGAUGGCCAAAACAACAAACAUUUGUCAAAUAAAUAUGUAAUUGAUGAAAUAA